CCUACGGGUGGCAGCAGUGGGGAAUAUUGCACAAUGGGGGAAACCCUGAUGCAGCGACGCCGCGUGAGUGAAGAAGUAUUUCGGUAUGUAAAGCUCUAUCAGCAGGGAAGAAAAUGACGGUAUCUGACAAAGAAGCCCAGGCUAACUACGUGCCAGCAGCCGCGGUAAUACGCAGGGGGCAAGCGUUAUCCGGAUUUACUGGGGGUAAAGGGAGCGGAGACGGCAGAGCAAGUCUGAAGUGAAAGCCCGGGGCCUAACUGGGGGACUGCUUUGGAGACUGCCCGGCUAGAGUGCUGGAGAGGGGAGCGGAAGUCCUAGUGUAGCGGUGAAAUGCGUAGAUAUUAGGAGGAACACCAGUGGCGAAGGCGGCUUACUGGACAGUGACUGACGUUGAGGCUCGAAAGCGUGGGGAGCAAACAGGAUUAGAUACCCCUGUAGUC
rnacentral:rRNA from 1 species